rnacentral:rRNA from 1 species
AUUGAACGCUGGCGGCAUGCUUUACACAUGCAAGUCGAACGGCAGCGCGGACUUCGGUCUGGCGGCGAGUGCCGAACGGGUGAGUAAUGCAUCGGAACGUGCCUCUUCGUGGGGGAUAACGCUUCGAACGGAGUGCUAAUACCGCAUACGACCUGAGGGUGAAAGUGGGGGACCGUAAGGCCCCACGCUAAUAGCCCCGCCUAUGUCUGAUUAGCUAGUUGGUGAGGUAAAGGCGCACCAAGGCGACGAUCAGUAGCGGGUCUUAGAGGACGAUCCGCCACACGGGGACUGAGACACGGCCCAGACUCCUACGGGAGGCAGCAGUGGGGAAUCUUGGACAAUGGGCGCAAGCCUGAUCCAGCAAUGCCGCGUGGGUGAAGAAGGCCUUCGGGUUGUAAAGCCCUUUUGUUUGGGAGCAAAUCCUACUGGUUAAUACCUGGUGGGGAUGAGAGUACCAAAAGAAUAAGCACCGGCUAACUACGUGCCAGCAGCCGCGGUAAAAC